UCGUAACAAGGUUUCCGUAGGUGAACCUGCGGAAGGAUCAUUACCGAGUGCGGGCCCUCGCGGCCCAACCUCCCACCCUUGUCUCUAUACACCUGUUGCUUCGGCGGGCCCACCGGGGCCACCUGGUCGCCGGGGGACGCACGUCCCCGGGCCCGCGCCCGCCGAAGCGCUGUGAACCCUGAUGAAGAUGGACUGUCUGAGUACUAUGAAAAUUGUCAAAACUUUCAACAAUGGAUCUCUUGGUUCCGGCAUCGAUGAAGAACGCAGCGAAAUGCGAUAAGUAAUGUGAAUUGCAGAAUUCCGUGAAUCAUCGAAUCUUUGAACGCACAUUGCGCCCCCUGGCAUUCCGGGGGGCAUGCCUGUCCGAGCGUCAUUUCUGCCCUCAAGCACGGCUUGCGUGUUGGGUGUGGUCCCCCCCGGGACCUGCCCGAAAGGCAGCGGCGACGUCCGUCUGGUCCUCGAGCGUAUGGGGCUCUGUCACUCGCUCGGGAAGGACCUGCGGGGGUUGGUCACCACCAUAUUUUACCACGGUUGACCUCGGAUCAGGUAGGAGUUACCCGCUGAACUUAAGCAUAUCAAUAA
rnacentral:misc_RNA from 1 species